rnacentral:rRNA from 1 species
CGGACGGGUGAGUAACGCGUGGAAAACCUGCCGUAUACUGGGGGAUAACACUUAGAAAUAGGUGCUAAUACCGCAUAAGCGCACAGCUUCGCAUGAAGCGGUGUGAAAAACUCUGGUGGUAUACGAUGGUUCCGCGUCUGAUUAGCUAGUUGGUGGGGUAAUGGCCUACCAAGGCAACGAUCAGUAGCCGGCCUGAGAGGGUGGACGGCCACAUUGGGACUGAGACACGGCCCAAACUCCUACGGGAGGCAGCAG